GACAGAGGAUGCAAGCGUUAUCCGGAAUGAUUGGGCGUAAAGCGUCUGUAGGUGGCUUUUUAAGUCCGCCGUCAAAUCCCAGGGCUCCAACCUGACAGGCGGUGGAAACUACCAAGCUGGAGUACGGUAGGGGCAGAGGGAAUUUCCGGUGGAGCGGUGAAAUGCGUAGAGAUCGGAAAGAACACCAACGGCGAGAGCACUCUGCUGGGCCGACACUGACACUGAGAGACGAAAGCUAGGGGAGCGAAUGGG
rnacentral:rRNA from 1 species